rnacentral:rRNA from 1 species
AAAAGCUUUCUUUAAUUGAAUAAUUGAAUUUAAUUUUUUANUGCAAAAGCAAAAAUAAAAAUUAGGGACAAGAAGACCCUAUGAAUUUUUUAUUAAAUUUUAUAAAACUUUAUAUAAAAUUUAAUUUAAUUGGGGUGAUGGAAAAAGAAUAAAUAUCUUUUUUUUAAAAAAAAAUUGGUUCCGUUUUUAGCGAUUAAAUGAAAAAAANACUCUAGGGAUAACAGCGUAAUAAUUUUGGAUAGUUCAUAUAGAUAAAAUAGUUUGCGACCUCGAUGUUGGAUUAGGAUUCUUUUUUGGUGAANAAGUUAAAAAAA